CUCUUUUCCCACGGAAACGGCGCUUGGUACAGACGCAGAAAUUGCAAGCUUCGAUAAUAUCCGCACAGAGAGUAUCACGAAAAAGCGAUAGUAGUGAAAUAAAAAAGGGGAAGGAGAAGGCCCGGAGCGGUAUCAAGUGACGGCAAAAUAACCAUAAGAUGAAUGUAGCUGAUGGUGCUGUCAAUCUGAGAGGAGGAGGAGGUCAAGCAGAGGCAUUGAACGCCGAACAAGCAACAUUGGAAUCAACAUAGAAUUCUGUCAACGCCUCUGACAACCUAAGAGGACGAACAGGUCUGGGAAAGGCAUUGGGCGACGGCGGAGCAACCUUGGGGUGAGAAUGUAUUAUUUAUAUACUAAAUUG